AUGAACGCUAGCGACAGGCUUAACACAUGCAAGUCGAGGGGUAACAGGGUAGCAAUACCGCUGACGACCGGCGCACGGGUGAGUAACGCGUAUGCAACCUGCCUAUAACUGGGGAAUAGCUCCCUGAAAGGGGGAAUUAACACCGCAUAACACUAUUGAUUCGCAUGGAUUAGUAGUUAAAUGUAGCGAUACAGGUUAUAGAUGGGCAUGCGUGACAUUAGCUAGUUGGUGAGGUAACGGCUCACCAAGGCUACGAUGUCUAGGGGUUCUGAGAGGAAGGUCCCCCCACACUGGUACUGAGACACGGACCAGACUCCUACGGGGGGCAGCAGUGAGGAAUAUUGGUCAAUGGGCGCAAGCCUGAACCAGCCAUGUCGCGUGCAGGAAGACUGCCCUAUGGGUUGUAAACUGCUUUUAUAGUAGAAGAAACACAUCUACGCGUAGAUGUCUGCCAGUAUACUAUGAAUAAGCAUCGGCUAACUCCGUGCCAGCAGCCGC
rnacentral:rRNA from 1 species